rnacentral:rRNA from 1 species
UACGGGGGGAGCAAGCGUUGUUCGGAUUUACUGGGCGUAAAGGGCGCGUAGGCGGUCGUGACAAGUCACUUGUGAAAUCUCCGGGCUUAACUCGGAACGGUCAAGUGAUACUGUCGGACUAGAGUACAGAAGGGGCAACUGGAAUUCCGAGUGUAGAGGUGAAAUUCGUAGAUAUUCGGAAGAACACCAGUGGCGAAGGCGGCUCACUGGACCGGUAUUGACGCUGAGGUGCGAAAGCGUGGGGAGCAAACAGG